GACGAACGCUGGCGGCGUGCCUAACACAUGCAAGUCGAUCGGUAACGCGGGGGCAACCCUGGCGACGAGAGGCGGACGGGUGAGGAACGCUUGGGAAUCUGCCUAUCAGCGGGGGACAACCCGGGGAAACUCGGGCCAAUACCGCAUACGCUCUACGGAGGAAAGCCGGGGACCGCAAGGCCUGGCACUGAUAGAUGAGCCCAAGUCGGAUUAGCUAGUUGGCGGGGUAACGGCCCACCAAGGCGACGAUCCGUAGCUGGUCUGAGAGGACGAUCAGCCACACUGGGACUGAGACACGGCCCAGACUCCUACGGGAGGCAGCAGUGGGGAAUAUUGGACAAUGGGGGAAACCCUGAUCCAGCGACGCCGCGUGGGUGAAGAAGGCCUGCGGGUUGUAAAGCCCUUUCGGUAGGGACGAAAGCUCUCGACCCAACACGUCGGGAGGUUGACUUAACCUACAAAAGAAGCACCGGCUAACUCUGUGCCAGCAGCCGCAGUAACAC
rnacentral:rRNA from 1 species